UUUCCACCUAAUAUAUGAUUUUAUUUAAGCAUUGGUGGUUUUGUUAAAUUCUUUUGUUAUUUUAAAAUAGUUUCCAUAACCCAUUCCUAACUUUAUUUCUAUUAAAUGUAUGUUUUAGUCACUAUUAUUCUUACAUUGUUGACAAUUUCGCUGUUAUGUCAAUGGAAUUUCGGUCGAACGCAGGGUUGCCAGGUCUUCGAAAUAAAUCCAGCUCAACUGCCAAUCAAAAGUAUUCCAAACUAUCCAUUUAAACUGCGACAAGCGUAGCAAUAUUCCGCGGGAAAAACGAGGACUUGGCAACACAUACGUGUCUGUGGCGUAUGUUAACGAAAGUUAGCGUAGUGGAACGAACAAAAACACACGUAGUCACGUUGUACUCUAAUAACCGGGAUCGCCCAAGACGCAUUACGUAUAAAGCGGAAGUAGUUGCGUAAAUAGUAACGUUAAUAUCAAAUAACAAUUGCCAAGCAACGAAAUCAUGUUUAAACCAGAUACAAUCAACGAAACAAUUAGCGCUUAUGAAGAGGAUAUGAUCACUGGAUUUGCCGAAAUAUAUCAGAAUGCGUAUGGCUGGGCUCCAGAGGGAGGACAGGACAGAGAUCAGCACUGACAGGGCUGUGCAGGGAAGGGAUGGUGAUGGUGCUUUAUUACAGCGGCCGACAUGUCUGGACACGCCGCUCUGUGCCUGAGUAUUAAAGCACAGCUGUGAUUGAACACAGAGAGAGAGAGAGAGACGAUGAUGUCACUGGUUCCCGUCAGCGAUGAGAAUCAGUGGAACUGAAUGAUCCCGGUUUAGAUUCCUUACACGAUAAGUUCACUUCCAGAAUACAAAAUUCCCGAUAAUUUACUCACCCACUUGUAAUCUAAGAUGUUCAUGUCUUUAUUUCUGCCGUCGCA